rnacentral:lncRNA from 1 species
CCAGGCGUGGUGGUGUGUGCCUGUAGUCCCAGCUACUCAGGAGGCUGAGGCUGGAGAAUUGCUUGAACCCGGGAGGCAGAGGUUGCAGUGAGCCGAGAUUGCGCCGCUGCACUCCAGCCUGGGCAACAGAGCAAGACUCUGUCUCAAAAAAAAAAAAAAAAAUGUACCUGGUACUCAAAUUAUUAUAGUAUUGCCAAGGUAAUCAUCUUUGGAAUUGAUGUAAAAGGAUUAUCCCUCUACUGGGAGUCAAACACAUUAGAUUCAACUGGAUUAACCAGAGUGCAGGAGAUACAAAGGUCAAAGAUGAAUGAGUCAUAGUUCCUAACUUUCAGAGGCUAACAGUCUAAGUAGAACAGCUAGACAAAUACAUAAGCAUCACAAAACAAUAUAAUAAAUUAAAAAAUGAAGGAGAAGAAAGGAAGGAUUGUAAGGAACCAUGAAUUUUGAAGAAAGGUGGCAUCAGGGAAAGAUUCAGGAAGCCAGAAAGUUUUGAAUUUGGUUUUACAAAGAGAAUAGUAUUUUCCCGAAUAGAAAUGAGCUGGGCAUUUCCAUCAAAAGAAGGAGUAUUAGAGGCUGGGUGUGGUGGCUCACGCCUCUAAUCUCAGCACUUUGGGAGGCCAAGACAGGCAGAUCACUUGAGGUCGGGAAUUCAAGAACAGCCUGACCAACAUGGGGAAACCCCGUUUCUACUAAAAAUACAAAAUUAGCUGGGCAUGGUGGUGCAUGCCUGUAAUCCCAGCUAUUCCAGAGGCUGAGGCAGGAGAAUCGCUUGAACCCAGCAGGUGGAGGUUGUAGCGAGCUGAGAUCACACCAUUGCACUCCAGCCUGGGCAACAAGAGCAAACCUCUGUCUC